rnacentral:lncRNA from 1 species
CAGAAGUGUGCCUGGGAAGAAACCCCACGGUGGAGAUGAGAGGCCAAAGAGUGGGUAGGGCGAAUGAGGAAAAGCAGCAAAGUGUACUCCCUCACAGAGAGGCAGAGAAGUGCGUUAGAACCCUGGGGAAGCAAGCUGGGAACCUCCCUCGAAGCCUGUCUGUUUCACUGUGCUCUCCUUAUCAUAGACACCUGCCACAGGGUUUGGCAUUUCCCCUUUUCUGAUUGGCUGCCUCCCCAGGGCCCGGGCCUCAGUGCUGGUGGCCCUCUGGGGGUCGGGAGCGCAUAAAUAGUUCCUGCUGGGGAAACUGGGAAACUGGUCUCAGACAAGAGGAACAGACAUCUCUGCCACGCACUGCUGCCUGGAGCUGCAUGGGGUCCCAGUGCUGCCAGCGUGUCUUCUGUGUAUCGCCCCAUGCACCUCUGCCUCAGCCACAGCCCUUCCCCGCAGCAGCUCCCGCGGCCUGGCCUGGUAGAGCUGCAGCCCCAGGCCUCCUUCUACUCCUUCCUGGGCCUGGAAAGGCUGGACCAGGACUGCCAUCCACCCUGCUGGCCCCCAGGCUGGCAGCCCUGGAAUGCUCAGGAGGGCCUGCCCCAGCUGAUUCAAUCUGUAAAACAACCAGGUGGUUAACAGCGUAAAGCUAGAAGCAGCCAAACACACUGGCUUCCAGGGCCGCUCUGAACACAGCUGCAGCUUCCUCAUCUGAUAAGUAACGCUUUCGUAACUGCACCUGUUUCCUCCUGCUCCCUCUCCAGCCUUCUAGCCCUGCCUCCAUUAAGGGAUGAUCAGGAAUAGAUAACAUCCAUGCCCAUCUUCCUCUACUUUAUAUGCGGGAUGCCUACCACAGCAUGGCUUGAUGAGCGGUGCAAUGUCCGCACCUGGGAACCGAACCCGCGGACCCCAGGCCACCAAAGCGGAAUGUGCGCACUUAACCACUGCACAACCGGGCCGGGGGUUUUUAUUUAAUGGGUAUUGAGUUUUCAUUUUUCAAGAUGAAAAAUUUCUAGAGAUCAGGUGUACAACAAUGUGAAUAUACUUAACACUACUGAACUGUGCACUUAGAAAUGGUUAAGAUGGUAAGUUUUGUGUGUAUUUUACCACAACUAAUUUUUUUUUUUAAAAAAAGAACACAACUUUUGCUUAAUUUGGCUUUUUCUCUUGGUGCUUGGAAUUGAGCAUUGGUGUUGCUGGUUGUGUAGUAAACAGUUGUAGGUUCACCUCUUAAUGAAUGUUAAAGACUUUGUACAUUAAAAGGUGACCGUGGAAGGGAAAGGAAUUAUACAGCACACUUAUGGUGUUGUUCUACUGAGGGACAGAGUACCUUUCAAACGGAGUAUCUUCCCAGGUUCAUAGCACUGUGUGUCAUACACGCAGCAAACACAAUGAUUGUAGAGGCACAUUUUGGGAAAUGAGCUCAAAGUUAGGAUGGGAUGGGGAUUGUUAAACCUCUCACUGAGACCUUAAUCACUGUGACCCCCUUCUUUUAAUGGUCUAUCCUUCAUCAGGUACUUAAAAUUACUCACAUAGUUUUUGUAGCACAAGAGUAUUUUCAUCGUAGAAUGUGAAAAUACCUUCAACAAUAAUCUAGAGACAGUCCAAAUUCAGUGUCAAGGAAUUUAGUGCCGGCGAUGAGCCUGGUCAUGCUAUCAGGCAGUAGGCCUUCUCUAUAGAUAAACCCACGCCAUGUCUAAAUUCUCAAGCAUUACUUGCUCACUUUCUCUCUCCCGUUUGUAUUCUUUGUGCCUAGAAAUGACCAUGACAGAGAGAUGCCCAGAUCACUGACCUUUGCAAACAAAACUUUGGAGCCUAAGAGAACUAUAUUAACCCAGUUCUUACUGAUUUCCUCUUUGGGGGGGAAGUUUGAUUGCUUUCCCACACCAAAGAAGUUUAGAGAAUGUGCCAGUGAAUGGGUGCCUACUCUCACCUGGGCAUGUGUGCGUGUGUUGAUACCCAAGAAGUGAGUUUACUAUUUGGUUGGGCAAAGAAUCAAUGAACACGAUUUGUAUUGAGCCUGUAACGUGUGUGACUUAUUUUUU